rnacentral:rRNA from 1 species
UACAGAGGGGGCAAGCGUUGUUCGGAAUUACUGGGCGUAAAGGGCGCGUAGGCGGCCUGUUAAGUCGAACGUGAAAUCCCCGGGCUCAACCCGGGAACUGCGUCCGAUACUGGCAGGCUUGAAUCCGGGAGAGGGAUGUGGAAUUCCAGGUGUAGCGGUGAAAUGCGUAGAUAUACGGAGGAACACCUGCGGCGAAGGCGGGUAGCUGGGCCAACACUGACGCUGAAACGCGAAAGCUAGGGGAGCAAACGGG